UACGUGAUCGGCCCACGUCCAA
rnacentral:piRNA from 1 species